rnacentral:rRNA from 1 species
UGCGUAGGUGGUCGGGUAAGUCUGCUGUGAAAUCCCGCAGCUCAACUGCGGAACUGCAUUGGAAACUAUCCGACUAGAGGAAUGGAGGGGAGACUGGAAUUCUCGGUGUAGCAGUGAAAUGCGUAGAUAUCGAGAGGAACACCAGUGGCGAAGGCGAGUCUCUGGACAUUUCCUGACGCUGGGGCACGAAAGCCAGGGAGCAAACG